CAUGUAGGCGGCUUAAUAAGUCGAGCGUGAAAAUGCGGGGCUCAACCCCGUAUGGCGCUGGAAACUGUUAGGCUUGAGUGCAGGAGAGGAAAGGGGAAUUCCCAGUGUAGCGGUGAAAUGCGUAGAUAUUGGGAGGAACACCAGUGGCGAAGGCGCCUUUCUGGACUGUGUCUGCGCUGAGAUGCGAAAGCCAGGGUAGCGAACG
rnacentral:rRNA from 1 species